rnacentral:lncRNA from 1 species
AUAUCCUUAAUGGCUGGCUUUGAAUCAUCUUCAAGGAAUCCGCCUUCUUGGCCUGGUGUGGUGGCUCACGCCUAUAAUCCCAGCACUUUGGGAGGCUGAGGCGGGUGGAUCACUUAGGAGUUUGAGACCAGCCUGGGCAACAUGGAGAAACACUGUCUCUACUAAAAACAGAAAAAUUAGCUAGGCAUGGUUGUGCGUGCCUGUAGUCCCAGCUACUCGGGAGGCUGAGGCGGGAGGAUCACCUGCAUCUGGGACAUGGAGGUUGCAGUGAGUUGAGAUUGCACCAUCACAGAGCAAGAUCCUGUCUAAAAAAAAAAAAAAAGAGAAUUCUGCCUUCCUUUUAUUUCAUUUUUAUUUCAGAAGAAUAACAGAAUUAACUGGAACUAAGUCUAGCUUUUGUUUUCUUCUUCUCUUUAGCAAGUUCCUUAGUUCCUUCAGUCCUUCUGCUAAGUGAGCAGAGUGUUUAUAAAGAGAGACGAUUUAAAGAUGACUGAAGACAGAUGUUAAAUUUGAACGGUUUCUUACUUCCCUAGUUUCACAAGUUAGGGUCUUAGAAGUUGCCAAGCAGUACUAGGAUACUCCUCUAGGACCGAGAUGUGCAAUUCUGAGCAAAUGUGCAGUGUGCAGUAUUGAUUUCCAGCCUCCUUUUAAACUCCUUCAAGUCUGUGCUAUUAAACGGAGACAACCACAUCAAGAUAGAGUCUGUCAUAGGAUUCCCUGAAGCACAGAAUGAGGAGGAGACUGAGCAAACACGACCCGGGAAGGCACCAGUUGAACCAAGACAACUCUGUAAGACAAAAAAACAUGCAGUUUUAAACAUUCAUGUAUCACCAGCAGACCACCACCUGUAUGCCGGAAGGAAUCUGCUCUGCAUUAAAAAGUACUUAUAAUAAAUGUACCCUGGAAGGCCUAGAAACUGGCUUUCAAUAAAUAGUGACAAUCUGGAGAC